rnacentral:rRNA from 1 species
AUGAACGCUAGCGGCAGGCCUAACACAUGCAAGUCGAGGGGCAUCACGAGGUAGCAAUACUUUGGUGGCGACCGGCGCACGGGUGCGUAACGCGUAUGUAACCUACCUAUAACAGGGGCAUAACACUGAGAAAUUGGUACUAAUUCCCCAUAAUAUUCGGAGAGGCAUCUCUCCGGGUUGAAAACUCCGGUGGUUAUAGAUGGACAUGCGUUGUAUUAGCUAGUUGGUGAGGUAACGGCUCACCAAGGCAACGAUACAUAGGGGGACUGAGAGGUUAACCCCCCCACACUGGUACUGAGACACGGACCAGACUCCUACGGGAGGCAGCAGUGAGGAAUAUUGGUCAAUGGACGCAAGUCUGAACCAGCCAUGCCGCGUGCAGGAAGACGGCUCUAUGAGUUGUAAACUGCUUUUGUACGAGGGUAAACUCACCUACGUGUAGGUGACUGAAAGUAUCGUACGAAUAAGGAUCGGCUAACUCCGUGCCAGCAGCCGCGGUAAUACGGAGGAUUCAAGCGUUAUCCGGAUUUAUUGGGUUUAAAGGGUGCGUAGGCGGUUUGAUAAGUUAGAGGUGAAAUCCCGGGGCUUAACUCCGGAACUGCCUCUAAUACUGUUAGACUAGAGAGUAGUUGCGGUAGGCGGAAUGUAUGGUGUAGCGGUGAAAUGCUUAGAGAUCAUACAGAACACCGAUUGCGAAGGCAGCUUACCAAACUAUAUCUGACGUUGAGGCACGAAAGCGUGGGGAGCAAACAGGAUUAGAUACCCUGGUAGUCCACGCAGUAAACGAUGAUAACUCGUUGUCGGCGAUACACAGUCGGUGACUAAGCGAAAGCGAUAAGUUAUCCACCUGGGGAGUACGUUCGCAAGAAUGAAACUCAAAGGAAUUGACGGGGGCCCGCACAAGCGGAGGAACAUGUGGUUUAAUUCGAUGAUACGCGAGAAACCUUACCCGGGCUUGAAAGUUACUGACGAUUCUGGAAACAGGAUUUCCCUUUGGGGCAGGAAACUAGGUGCUGCAUGGUUGUCGUCAGCUCGUGCCGUGAGGUGUCGGGUUAAGUCCCAUAACGAGCGCAACCCCUACCGUUAGUUGCCAUCAGGUCAAGCUGGGCACUCUGGCGGGACUGCCGGUGUAAGCCGAGAGGAAGGUGGGGAUGACGUCAAAUCAGCACGGCCCUUACGUCCGGGGCUACACACGUGUUACAAUGGUAGGUACAGAGGGUCGCUACCCCGCGAGGGGAUGCCAAUCUCGAAAGCCUAUCUCAGUUCGGAUUGGAGGCUGAAACCCGCCUCCAUGAAGUUGGAUUCGCUAGUAAUCGCGCAUCAGCCAUGGCGCGGUGAGUACGUUCCCGGGCCUUGUACACACCGCCCGUCAAGCCAUGGAAGCUGGGGGUGCCUGAAGUUCGUGACCGCAAGGAGCGACCUAGGGCAAAACCGGUAACUGGGGCU